UGGAUUCUCAGAAAAGGAGGGAAGCCGUAGAAGAGCUAACGGUGAUUAGAGGGGGGAUAUUGAUUCCUUAUUCUGCCAGAGAUUUAAGCAGGCAUGCGAGGAAUCUGCACCAUGGUUGGCAAAGGAGCCCCCCUGUAACCAGACACUGGGGCUUUCCAGGAGCCCAGGGAGAGAGCUGAGAAGAAAGGGGGCAGUGUGGUCUAGGAAAAUUCAACUUGUCGCUGAUUUGUGCCUGAUGCUUGCUGUCCGUCAGCAGCCUCCCUUACAAUCUUUUUUUCUCUCUCUCCCUUUUUUUCUUGCUUUCUCCUUCUUCACCGAAGCCUAGGGGAGCUAGCAAAGAUUAAAUGUGCUUUCUCAAAGGCGGCCACUUCAUGCUGCUAUGUCGAAAGGGCCAUUAUUAUUAUUAUUUUUAAUAGUAAAAGAAAAAGGGAGAGAGAGCUUGAGACAGAGAGGGAGAAGCAAGGUAGGUUGAUGACGGACUGGCCUUUCUGAGAGGAAGAGGAAAGUGAGAGAGAAAGGAGAGACCCUGAGCUGAACGGAGCACUGUGCCUGAGAAGAACCUAUGGAGUCGUGUUGAUGUUCCUUUCAGCUGGUCCUAUAGCCCCCCUCCCUCCUCAGGAAGGUCUCCCCAGUGAAAGGACAGAAACUUCAGAGAUACAGCGGCACUGAUGGACACUCAAGCCAACAAUGGAGUUGAAACAGAGAGAGAGAUCACCUGAAGACACCUUCCCUGCUAAGGAGCACACCCCUAAUGGCGCAGUUAGAGACAAUAGACUCUCAGAACACGAGGCAAUCCUUUCAAGAAACAGAAAAAAUUUAACAGUGACAUCUAGAUUUCUAAAGAGCCAAGGACUGCCCCUUCCUCGUGUGUAUUCCUCUGUUUGUAUUUAAAUUCAGUGUGACAUCCGUUUCUAAAAUAUUUCCCCAGGACUAGGAUGCUUAUUAAUGCAUCAAUUUUUUUAUAAUAGAAUGUAGCACGUGUGUUCAUGUGGUAAGGAACAAAGUUAGUGCUAGAAGAACAUCGGUUUUUAGCCACACACAGUUCGACUGAAAGUGUGACCUAAAGGAACAUAAAGUACUUUUGAAAUACCAGAGUAGUCAGAGGCAAUCCGAAGGAUAAAAUGACAGACACGAUCACACCUGACACCAACCAGUCAACCAUUCUUUUAAUCAAGCAAGAUGGGUUCGCUGGGACAUGGUCACUGCAUCUAAAGAGUUUAAAUUUCAUUAGACAGAGAUACAUAAAUUUUUGAAAAGAUAGUCGCAAAUCAGGUCCAUGGAUGUUAAGACCACAACCAAGCUAAAGAUAUAAGCAAACUGUUCAGAGGAGGUCACCAUAAUCUGGGCAAGCCUGGCCUGUUUAGGGAAGAAAGUUCCCAAAGGAGGAAAAUACAAGAUGGAUCUUAAAGGAUAGUAAGAUUUAGGGGCGCCUGGUUAGUUCAGUUGGUAGAUCAUGAGACUCUGAAUCUCAGGGUUGUGAGUUCAAACCCCAUGUGGGGCAUGGAGCCUACUUACAAAAAAAGGCAGGUAAUUAAAGAUUUAGAUAAAUGGAAAGGAAAGAGAGAGUAGAUUCCUUUAAAUGAAUGUAAUGUUGUGAGCAUUCAUGUGAGAGGAAGGAAUCUAUGUGGUGAAUAUAGAGAAUUAUGAGUAUAUGUGUCUAGUUGAUGGCAGCAUAUAUGUAAACACGUAUGGUAAGGACUUCGCACACACGUGUCCCUUCUCCCACCUUCGGUGUCACCUAGAACUAUCAUCUUAUUUUCCACCAAAGCACGUGGUGGUGACUGGUGGUAAUAUGAGCACUUAUGACUUUUCUUUAACGUAACAAGAAUUAGUAUUUAUUGAGUUCUUACUGUAUGUUAAGCUUUUUACAUAUGAACUCACUUAAGCUUACAACCCAGAAAGCCCUGCAAAAUAGGUAUUAUUAGGCCUGUUUUGAAGCUAACCUGUAAUGAGAUGAAGUAACUUGCCAAACUGGCAUGUACAGGGUUCACAUUCAAGAAUUGUGAUCGUAAAUCUCAUGAUCUGAAGCACAAAGUCACAAUAUUGUGAUCAGUGUUGUAGUAUUACCACUUCUGUAUUCCCCAAUAGUUUUUUAUGGUAAAAAAAAAUAGCUAUGACCUUCAGUUAUCCCCUCAAAACUUUUAAUUUUCUGCUUACAUUACAGUAUAAUGAUCGAAACACUUUUCAUGGGAGAAAACUGACAAAAUUGGGGAAUAGAACUUAUCAGCAUUUUAGGCAUCCAGAUUUUGAAGAAAUUGUUCACCUUAUUCUGCAUGAAAUCUGAAAUUUUUUAGAAUUACUAAAAGAUGGGGGGAACUCUAAGGUCAUCUGUUGCAAUGUGCAUUUCCACAGAGGUCAAAUCAAAGUUUGAGUGACUUACAAGGAGCUCACACAUUUCAGUGUGUCAGAGCGAGGUCCAGAAACCAAGCUGUCCAAGUCUCUUCUCCGAGGCUCUUGAAUUACUCCACCAUGCCUAAAUGAAGUUUGAACUUGAAUUUGAUCAAGGAAGGCAUUCUCUCUGGGUGAUCAGGAAGCACUACACCCAGCAGAUGGUUUCAAUUUUGCACCUUUUGGGCUUCCCACCUCAACGUGAAAAAUAGCCAGUUAUGAACUAACAUCUCCUGACGCAGACAUUGUCACUGGUUCAUCCCCAAAGAACACAUAAUGGCUUAAAUUAUGUGUACAAUCUUUUCAAUGAUAUUCUUAAGUUAUUUGAAAUUCUUAGUUCACCUAAACAAAUCAGAUCUUCUAAUGAGCAUUUCCUUACCCAAUUUUAAGCACAGUAUGUAUUUGUUAGUGCUUCUGCAUGAAUAUUUAUACACGACUGUUUCAAUAGUCCUUAUGUUUUUGAAAAUAUCAGUGGUUAUUUGCUAUUUUAAUCCUCACUUAUCCAGGUAACUGUCUCAAGAAUACUUCAGCCAUAAAAAGCUAGAAGUGAGGAAAUCUCACUCUUUUUUACUGACUCCUUUGCAUUUAAUUGGCAUUUAGUAAUGAUUAAUAAAGUGGUCAACUGGAUAACACAGUUCCAAGAUGCAAUUCUGUCUGGAAGGAGUCAGUUAAGCUGUGUCUACUUAAGAACAAACAUCUAGACCUUUGGAAGCACCUGAAUAUGUGACUGUUGUAAAUUUCCACUUCAAAAUCUGGCAUUGUCAGACCUAGACCUCCUUGUAGCUCAGGCUGUCCUGUUUUCAAAAUGAUGAUUAUUGGCCGUAUCUCACACAGUUCUCAUUAAAUAAGUAGCCAAGCACAAAAUGUGACUCUUGACAUUUUCUGAGACUUUGUCGUAUGUCCCUUGAAUCCCCAAAUAAAAGCAAUGUUGCAUCAACUGUGAA